rnacentral:lncRNA from 1 species
CAUUAAAAAAAAACAACAACGGAGAAAUUCCCAGGAUUUUUUGGGAAUCUCCAAAUCCGGGGAGGUUUUUUUGGGGUUGUUUUUUGAUUUUUUGAUCAUUUUUUUGGGGGAAUUUUGGAUUUUUUUUGUUGGGAUGAGAGGUUUUCCUCAUCAUCCCGAAUUUUUUUUAUUGUAUAUUUUUAUUUUUGUGGGAAAAGGAGGAGCUUGGGAAUUUCCACCCCGGGAAUUUUGCACUUCCAAAGGAGCCGGAUCAGGGAGAGACAGAAGAAGAAAAAAGGGGGAAAAAAAAUAAAAAUAUUCAGGAAAAAAACCUCGGGAUUUAAACAAAAAAACAACAAAAAAUUCCCACUUUUCCCACUUUUUUUUUAUUUUCCUUCUCGUAAAAGCCAUGAGCAAAACUCCAAACUUUUUUCAGGGAAUGGGAACGGGAAUAACACAAAAUUAACCGGAUGCCUUUAAUCCUAACUCAUUAAAAAAACAACAAAAAACCCAUUUUUAUUCCUUAAUUUCCUUUUUUUUGUGUAUCCAGAACGGGAAUUUUUGGGGAUUUUCCCACUCUGGAAUCGGCGUGGAUGGAAAUUUUUAAUUUUAAUUAUUUUUUAUUAUUUUUUGGGGGGUUUAUUUUAAAGGGGAGGGAGGGAAAUCCCAAAUUCCGUAGGCUCCGGAAAAAAAAACCCCUCGGAAUAAAAACAAAACAAAAAAGACGGAGCCGGAAAUUCCCAAGGAUUCGCUGGCGGAGCACAAAUUUUGGGAAUUCCCAAAUUCCCGGAAUGUGGAAUUUGAAAGAAUUUAGGGUGGAAAAAACCCUUGGAUUAUCCCAAAAAAAAAAACCCUGGAAUUGUAAAGGAAAGCCCGGAGAGGGCGCGAGGACGAACUCAGGAAUUACCCUUGGAGGCCUUUCCCGAAAUUCCCGAAAUUCCCGAAAUUCCCGGAGCCCAUCCCAAAAAAUCCAAGUGCCGGAAACGUCGGGAAGAACAAAAAGAGGGAAAAUCCCGGAAUUUUUCCCUCCCAGCACCUCCAAAUCCGUCGGAUUCGAGGCGAAAAAAGGGAAAAAAAAGCGGAAUUUUCGCGGCUUUGGAAUUUUUUUGGGAUUGGGGGAUUUUUGGG